CGGGUUGUAAAGCACUUUCAGUGGGGAAGAAAAGCUCAGGGUUAAUACCUCUGAGUAUUGACGUUACCCACAGAAGAAGCACCGGCUAACUCUGUGC
rnacentral:rRNA from 1 species